rnacentral:misc_RNA from 1 species
GAAGAACCUACCGCUAUUGUUCUUUGCUUGAUUUGGUACCAAUUAAAAGUUUUUAUGGGCUUGUGUUGUGAUCUCUGGGUCCUGGGGUAGUGCUUUAUGCGAUAGAGUUUUGGGGAAGGGGGAACUUGAGGGCAGAAGUACUUGUCGUCACAACCAUAUACUAUUGUUGCCUCCUCUGGGUAUAAAAGAGUGAAAAACCAUAUGGGCUCUCCCUAUUUUCCUUCUAUUGUUUCUCCCGCGGGUCGACGAUGUUUUGAGCUUUAAAGUUUGUGUGAAGUUUAGCUUGCUGCCUCUUUUUUCCGCAACUGGGGUUUGUGUCGUUUGAUCUUCGAUGAAGGGAAAAAAAAUAAAGAAAAGUGGAAAAACUAAAUAGACAAGCAAAUUGUUAUUUGUCGCAGCGAAAGGUUAUCCUCCUCACAGUGAUAUACUUGGCCUCUUACAGGACCAUAGGUUUCACAAAUGUCUCAAGAAGCGACAAUGACCAAAAUGUCCUCGUAGGAGACAUUCAAUUUCGUCUCUACAUACAAGCUCCCUUCUCCUUCAACUUUGUUGCGCAGAUUUUUCCAAGAAUUUCAUGUUUCAGAGGAUGUGCGUUUGGAGUUAGAUAGAAAAAGAACCUUUUCGGCUAGCUGGAGCUUACUAAUAGCAAUGGCCAUAGCU